UUGAACGCUGGCGGCAUGCCUAACACAUGCAAGUCGAACGGUAACGCGGAGAGCUUGCUCUCUAGCGACGAGUGGCGGACGGGUGAGUAAUACUUAGGAAUCUGCCCAGUAGUGGGGGACAACAUUCGGAAACGGAUGCUAAUACCGCAUACGCACUACGGUGGAAAGUGGGGGAUCUUCGGACCUCACGCUAUUGGAUGAGCCUAAGUCGGAUUAGCUUGUUGGUGAGGUAAUGGCCCACCAAGGCGACGAUCUGUAGCUGGUCUGAGAGGACGAUCAGCCACACUGGGACUGAGACACGGCCCAGACUCCUACGGGAGGCAGCAGUGGGGAAUAUUGGACAAUGGGCGCAAGCCUGAUCCAGCAAUGCCGCGUGUGUGAAGAAGGCCUGCGGGUUGUAAAGCACUUUCAGUAGAGAAGAAAAGCCCAGGGUUAAUACCCCUGAGUCUUGACGUAACCUACAGAAGAAGCACCGGCUAACUCCGUG
rnacentral:rRNA from 1 species